rnacentral:rRNA from 1 species
CCUACGGGCGGCAGCAGUGGGGAAUAUUGCACAAUGGGGGAAACCCUGAUGCAGCAACGCCGCGUGUGUGAAGAAGGCCUUCGGUAUGUAAAGUUCUAUCAGCAGGGAAGAAGAUGAUGGUAUUAGAAUAAGAAGCACUGGCUAAUAACGUGCCAGCAGCCGCGGGAAUACGUAGGGGGCAAGCGUUAGCCGGUUUUACUGGGGGUAAGGGGAGUGCAGACGGCAGUGCAAGUCUGGAGUGAAAGCCCGGGGCUCAACCCCGGAACUGCACUGGAAACUGUGCGGCUAGAGUACUGGAGGGGCUGGCAGAAUUCCUGGUGUAGCGGUGAAAUGCGUAGAGAUUAGGAGGAACACCAGUGGCGAAGGCGGCCUGCUGGACAGAAACUGACGUUGAGGCUCGAAAGCGUGGGGAGCAAACAGGAUUAGAUACCCCAGUAGUC